UUACUUAUAACGAAAGGGAUGAUGGGUGAACGAUGAAGAACUAAUCUUAUUUUUCCAAAAUUUGAAUGAAAUACAUUUCAAAUGGAACAAAAAAUAGGAUUAGUCUGCCCAUUUCCAUAAAUCGCUUUUUCAAAGCAUAUCUCUAAUGGUAUGUGCACAAUGAGUGGUCGAUAUGCACGCUUUUUGUAUAUCGGUUAUGUAUGUUGUGAAUGAGCAAAUAAUUAGGUACGGCUAAUCCUUCCAGAGAAAAUUUGGGAGGAUUUUUUU
rnacentral:sRNA from 1 species